rnacentral:rRNA from 1 species
UCCGUAGGCGGGCUAAUAAGUCAGGGGUGAAAUACCACAGCUCAACUGUGGAACUGCCUUUGAUACUGUUAGUCAUGAGUUAUAUGGAAGUAGAUAGAAUGUGUAGUGUAGCGGUGAAAUGCUUAGAGAUUACACAGAAUACCGAUUGCGAAGGCAGUCUACUACGUAUAUACUGACGCUAAUGGACGAAAGCGUGGGGAGCGAACAGGAUUAGAUACCCUGGUAGUCC